rnacentral:rRNA from 1 species
GUGGCGGACGGGUGAGUAACGCGUGGGUAACCUGCCUUGUACUGGGGACAACAGUUGGAAACGACUGCUAAUACCGCAUAAGCGCACAGCUUCGCAUGAAGCAGUGUGAAAAACUCCGGUGGUACAAGAUGGACCCGCGUCUGAUUAGCUGGUUGGUGAGGUAACGGCCCACCAAGGCAACGAUCAGUAGCCGGCCUGAGAGGGUGAACGGCCACAUUGGGACUGAGACACGGCCCAAACUCCUACGGGAGGAGCAUG